rnacentral:rRNA from 1 species
UACGAAGGGGGCUAGCGUUGCUCGGAAUCACUGGGCGUAAAGGGUGCGUAGGUGGAUUUUUAAGUCAGGGGUGAAAUCCUGGAGCUCAACUCCAGAACUGCCUUUGAUACUGGGAAUCUUGAGUUCGGGAGAGGUGAGUGGAACUGCGAGUGUAGAGGUGAAAUUCGUAGAUAUUCGCAAGAACACCAGUGGCGAAGGCGGCUCACUGGCCCGAUACUGACACUGAGGCACGAAAGCGUGGGGAGCGAUCCGG